UACGUAGGGUGCAAGCGUUGUCCGGAAUUAUUGGACGUAAAGAGCUCGUAGGCGGUCUGUCGCGUCUGCUGUGAAAACUCGGGCUUAACCCCGGGCCUGCAGUGGGUACGGGCAGACUAGAGUGCGGUAGGGGAGACUGGAAUUCCUGGUGUAGCGGUGAAAUGCGCAGAUAUCAGGAGGAACACCGGUGGCGAAGGCGGGUCUCUGGGCCGUAACUGACGCUGAGGUGCGAAAGCGUGGGGAGCAAACAGG
rnacentral:rRNA from 1 species